rnacentral:rRNA from 1 species
UACGGAGGGGGCUAGCGUUGUUCGGAAUUACUGGGCGUAAAGCGCACGUAGGCGGCUUUGUAAGUCAGAGGUGAAAGCCCGGGGCUCAACCCCGGAAUUGCCUUUGAGACUGCAUCGCUUGAAGAUGAGAGAGGUGAGUGGAAUUCCGAGUGUAGAGGUGAAAUUCGUAGAUAUUCGGAAGAACACCAGUGGCGAAGGCGGCUCACUGGCUCAUACUUGACGCUGAGGUGCGAAAGCGUGGGGAGCAAACAGG